rnacentral:lncRNA from 10 species
CAAUGUACAUGUCUAAUUAACAUACGUGUUCCUGUCAUUGUCACACUAAACUUAGAAAUGUGACAGACACUAUUGUAUGACUCAAGUAUUAUGUUACAAAUGAGGGGAGAUAGGGGUUUUGGGUUGCAUGGAUGUAGACAUUUGUCAAAAUUAUUCAGUCUGUCUAACAUCUGUUUCACUAUAGACAAAGCUUUUAGGUCCGGCACUGUAGCUCACGCCUGUAACCCCAAAACUUUGAGAGGCCAAGGCAGGAGGGUCACUUGAGCCCAGGAGACCACCCUGGGCAAUAUAAUAAGACCCCAUCUCUACAAAAGAUACAAAAACUAGCCAGGCAUGGUGGUGCAUGCCUAUAGUCCUAGCUACUUGGGAGGCUGAGGCUGGAGGAUUGCUUGAGCCCAGGAAGCUGAGGCUAUAGUGAGCUGUGAUCGUGCCACUGCAACACAGCCUGGGCAGAGUGAGAUCCUGUCUCAAAUAGGAACAACAACAAAAAAAAUCAAUGAAAACAGAACCAAAAACAAAUACUGAGCUCUAGGUACUGACGGUGUGCUGCAGUAAUAAGGGAAAGGUGGACUGGUGUCUGCAACUUACUUUGAAAUGCAUCCCAAAAAGAUGGAUUGGCGGGCAGAGAGAAA